GGGAUAUUGGACAAUGGGGGGAACCCUGAUCCAGCGACGCCGCGUGAGUGAAGAAGGUUUUCGGAUCGUAAAGCCCUGUUGUUGGUGAAGAAGGAUAGAGGUAGUAACUGGCCCCUAUUUGACGGUAAUCAACCAGAAAGUCACGGCUAACUACGUGCCAGCAGCCGCGGUAAUACGUAGGUGGCAAGCGUUGUCCGGAUUUAUUGGGCGUAAAGCGAGCGCAGGCGGAAAGAUAAGUCUGAUGUGAAAGCCCCCGGCUUAACCGAGGAAUUGCAUCGGAAACUGUGUUUCUUGAGUGCAGAAGAGGAGAGUGGAACUCCAUGUGUAGCGGUGGAAUGCGUAGAUAUAUGGAAGAACACCAGUGGCGAAGGCGGCUCUCUGGUCUGUAACUGACGCUGAGGCUCGAAAGCAUGGGUAGCGAACAG
rnacentral:rRNA from 1 species